rnacentral:rRNA from 1 species
AUUGAACGCUGGCGGCAGGCCUAACACAUGCCAGUCGAGCGGAUGAAGGGAGCUUGCUCCUGGAUUCAGCGGCGGACGGGUGAGUAAUGCCUAGGAAUCUGCCUGGUAGUGGGGGAUAACGUCCGGAAACGGGCGUUAAUACCGCAUACGACCUGAGGGAGAAAGUGGGGGAUCUUCGGACCUCACGCUAUCAGAUGAGCCUAGGUCGGAUUAGCUAGUUGGUGGGGUAAAGGCCUACCAAGGCGACGAUCCGUAACUGGUCUGAGAGGAUGAUCAGUCACACUGGAACUGAGACACGGUCCAGACUCCUACGGGAGGCAGCAGUGGGGAAUAUUGGACAAUGGGCGAAAGCCUGAUCCAGCCAUGCCGCGUGUGUGAAGAAGGUCUUCGGAUUGUAAAGCACUUUAAGUUGGGAGGAAGGGCAGUAAGUUAAUACCUUGCUGUUUUGACGUUACCAACAGAAUAAGCACCGGCUAACUUCGUG